rnacentral:rRNA from 1 species
AUUGAACGCUGGCGGCAGGCCUAACACAUGCAAGUCGAGCGAGCGGCGGACGGGUGAGUAAUGUAUGGGGACUGCCGGAAGGAGGGGGAUAACUACUGGAGACGGUGGCUAAUACCGCAUACUAACGGAUAACCCAUAUGGGAUUAGCUAGUAGGUGGGGUAAAGGCCCACCUAGGCGACGAUCUCUAGCUGGUCUGAGAGGAUGAUCAGCCACACUGGGACUGAGACACGGCCCAGACUCCUACGGAGGCAGCAGUGGGGAAUAGUGCACAAUGGGCUCAAGCCUGAUGCAGCCAUGCCUCGUGUAUGAAGAAGGCCUUAGGGUUGUAAAGUACUUUCAGCUGGGAGGCGUUACCCUCAGAAUAAGCACCGGCUAACUCCGUGCCAGCAGCCGCGGUAAUAC